UUAAACUGGAGAGUUUGAUCCUGGCUCAGAUUGAACGCUGGCGGCAUGCCUAACACAUGCAAGUCGAACGGAAACGACGAGAAUA
rnacentral:rRNA from 1 species